GACGAACGCUGGCGGCGUGCUCAACACAUGCAAGUCGAACGGAAAGGCCCUGCUUUUGUGGGGUGCUCGAGUGGCGAACGGGUGAGUAACACGUGAGUAACCUGCCCUUGACUUUGGGAUAACUUCAGGAAACUGGGGCUAAUACCGGAUAGGAGCUCCUGCUGCAUGGUGGGGGUUGGAAAGUUUCGGCGGUUGGGGAUGGACUCGCGGCUUAUCAGCUUGUUGGUGGGGUAGUGGCUUACCAAGGCCUUGACGGGUAGCCGGCCUGAGAGGGUGACCGGCGACAUUGGGACUGAGAGACGGCCCAGACUCCUACGGGAGGCAGCAGUGGGGAAUAUUGCACAAUGGGCGGAAGCCUGAUGCAGCAACGCCGCGUGCGGGAUGACGGCCUUCGGGUUGUAAACCGCUUUCGCCUGUGACGAAGCGUGAGUGACGGUAAUGGGUAAAGAAGCACCGGCUAACUACGUG
rnacentral:rRNA from 1 species